rnacentral:rRNA from 1 species
GAUGAACGCUGGCGGCGUGCCUAAUACAUGCAAGUCGAGCGAAUGGAUUAAGAGCUUGCUCUUAUGAAGUUAGCGGCGGACGGGUGAGUAACACGUGGGUAACCUGCCCAUAAGACUGGGAUAACUCCGGGAAACCGGGGCUAAUACCGGAUAACAUUUUGAACCGCAUGGUUCGAAAUUGGAAGGCGGCUUCGGCUGUCACUUAUGGAUGGACCCGCGUCGCAUUAGCUAGUUGGUGAGGUAACGGCUCACCAAGGCAACGAUGCGUAGCCGACCUGAGAGGGUGAUCGGCCACACUGGGACUGAGACACGGCCCAGACUCCUACGGGAGGCAGCAGUAGGGGAUCUUCCGCAAUGGACGAAAGUCUGACGGAGCAACGCCGCGUGAGUGAUGAAGGCUUUCGGGUCGUAAAACUCUGUUGUUAGGGAAGAACAAGUGCUAGUUGAAUAAGCUGGCACCUUGACGGUACCUAACCAGAAAGCCACGGCUAACUACGUGCCAGCAGCCGCAGUAA